rfam:Ovis aries breed Texel chromosome 2, whole genome shotgun sequence.
UCCCUGGUGGCUCAGAUGGUAAAGCAUCUGCCUGAAAUGAGGGAGACCCAGGUUCAAUCCCUGGAUUGGGAA